CCCCACCAAAUAAAGGAAAGAAUUAAUCCAUAAAGAAAGGAAUCAAUCAAUCAAUGAUUUCUCGCGUGAAAAAUGAUAUCUUGAUCAGCAAGUUAUGCUGACUUGUUGUCUCUGCCAUUUAUAUUUUUUCAGGUUAAAAAAUCAGACCAAAUUCCUAGGAUAUAAGUUGUCUAGUUAAGUCGUCACCACUUAUGUCAUCCAUGUCUACAAUAAUUUCUUAAAUAAGUUAUAUCCAUCUCUUCUUCUCUUCUUCACUCCUUCCAAGUUCCACCCCAGUCGACAGCAAUGUCCACCGCCGUCGCCGGAGCCCACGUACUGGUAUACGCAUACCCGGCCGCCGGCCAUAUAAUCCCAAUACUCGACCUAACCCACUACCUACUCAGCCGUGGCCUCACCGUGACCCUCCUCCUCAUCCUCCAAAGUCCACCCCCAGUCGACAGCAUGGUCCACCGCCGUCGCCGGAGCCCACGUCCUGGUAUAUCCAUACCCGGCCGCCGGCCAUAUAAUCCCAAUACUCGACCUAACCCACCACCUACUCAGCCGCGGCCUCACCGUGACCCUACUCCUCACUCCAUCCAACCUCAACCUCCUUCAUAGCUUCCGCCUCUCCCACCCAACCACCACCCAGCUCAACGAGCUCAUCCUCCCAGCUCCGGAUCCUUCGCCGUCGGGACCGACCCGACCCAUCGGACCUAUAGUCAACAUGA
rnacentral:lncRNA from 1 species